rnacentral:rRNA from 1 species
AGCAGCCGCGGUAAUUCCAGCUCCAAUAGCGUAUAUUAAAGUUGUUGCAGUUAAAAAGCUCGUAGUUGAAUUUCGGGAUCAGUACGCCGGUCGUGCCUUCGGUAUGCACUGGUGUCACUGGUUUCUCCCUUCUGAAGAACCAUCAUGCCAUUAAGUUGGUGUGGCGGGAAAUCAGGACUGUUACUUUGAAAAAAUUAGAGUGUUUAAAGCAGGCUCGCGCUUGAAUACAUUAGCAUGGAAUAAUGAAAUAGGACGUUUGACCCUAUUUUGUUGGUUUCUAGGAUCGACGUAAUGAUUAAUAGGGAUAGUUGGGGGCAUUAGUAUUCAAUUGUCAGAGGUGAAAUUCUUGGAUUUAUUGAAGACUAACUACUGCGAAAGCAUUUGCCAAGGAUGUUUUCAUUAAUCAAGAACGAAAGUUAGGGGAUCGAAGACGAUCAGAUACCGUCGUAGUCUUAACCAUAAACUAUGCCGACUAGGGAUCGGAUGAUGUUAAUUUUUUAAUGACUCAUUCGGCGCCUUACG